ensembl:lncRNA
GAACAAGGAGCUGCAUUAGAAAUGGGUUUCCCAUUCAUAAAUAUAUGAUAAGCAUUGUUUGGAAGAGGCUUCUUUUUUCAUGAACAGCUAGAGUCAGAAGGGAACAAAAGCUUCAAAUGAAAACCCACCGGGCUUAAGGAGACUGACACAACCCAUUAGGAGAAUGACAUUUUUCUUCCUGAGAUAGUAUAUUGUCACUUGACAGAAAUUAAGAGAAGAAAUAAAAAAUGCAUUUUAUGUACUGUGGCAAUACAUUUGUAUUGGUGAAGUUUUAGUGGAAAUAUCAUAUCUCACAAAAAUAGAAUACAAUAACGGGUGAAAUUAUUUGCAGGCAUUGGAGCUAUUAAUAACGUGGACUCAGGUUGUCACCACUCUGGAAAAAAAGUCAAAGAUGAGAUAUUGCAUGAACGCAUUUGCAAGAGCUCUCCCUGUCCAUUUCCUCUCUCCAGGUAUGGAGUUUUCUGUGCAACGUGGAACUAGGAUGGAUCAGGCAGAAAUUGGAGCUGGAUAAGUUUUCAGUGGUACAGGCAUUGCAAGGUAUAAGCAGAAAAGCCACAGGAAGCCUAACACAGCAUGAAUGUUACUCGAUGAACCCUGACACGACAGUGGGAUGCUGGAGGACAAGGAUUUUAAGUCUUGAUUCUCCCAGCUUCCAAACUACUACUCCAGUUUUAUGGAACGUGGAUGUCCUGCCUACUAGGAAUAACUUCAGUUAUCUUCUGUUGAUGUCUGGAGAUGGGAACAGAUGCAAACAUAGAGAGAAACAGAUACUUCAGUGCCAGGUGUGCUGCAUUUGUUCUAAGUUUCAUUUAGGUCUUGUUGGGUAACCUUCAUAACAAACUUCAUUAUUUUGAUAAGAUAUUUAGAACACCAACUAUAUUUUCCAAAUCAGUAGAAUUUGAGUUUUUCCUCAUCGUCUAAACCUAUGAAAGGUCAAAGACAAAGUUGCAAAAACCAGAGGAAUCUUUCCAGGCUAUCUCUUUAAGAGCUGCAGAUUAUCAACUCUCCGCUGAAGUGAACAGAUCUCCUCCAAAUUUUCUUGGAUGACUACAUGGCAUACAUGCUUUCUUUCCACAAGAAAGCAUAAAGUGACCCCUUCCCCACAUUUAAUUUAAUUUAAUUUAAUUUUGUUUUACUUUAUUUGCCAAGUUAGUAAACCUCUUCCUGCCCAAUAAAUGUAUGCUUUCUUUAACAGGAAUUACCCUUAGUUUGAUAAUUUCAAACUCAAACUUGUCAUGACCAACAGAGGUCAGAUCUACAGGCAUUGUCUGACACCCAGAGCUAAGUUCCCCUAAAUUGGGAAAAUAUGCCACAUUUCCACCUCCCCCCCCCCCCCCCCCAACUUUUAUCACAAAAUUAUUCAUGCUAUUUGUCCAGAAAUGUAGGAACUUCUGUGAGGCCCUAUUGAUAUCUACCAGUCCUACAUAGCAGAUACCCUCUCUCAGAUACUAUAAGGUCUGUGUACAAGCAACUGAAUCAAAGCAAUUUAGAUGUUUGUCAUAGGAUUUUCAAAAACAUUUGUCACUAUUCUCUCACUGAAAAUCACUGGAGCUGCAUUUUAAUAAUCAGCAGCUGAUCUGAAACAUUCUAACCCAUCACCUUGUGUCUCCUGACUAUCUUGUGUAAUAGCUGGUAUGUAUCUGCCAGAAAAUUUGCAAGACACCAGGAAAGGUGUGGAAGUGUAUCUAUGGGAAGGAUAAACCAUGAGACUUCAAAGUCAGCACAUAUCUGACAGUUUAGAAGAUUUUAUACUGGUGUAUAAAAGCAUUUUAAAUAUUAUAGCAACGUGUAAUCACAGAAUUUUGGAAUUAUAUAUAAACGUACUUCAAGUAAAACUUAUUAUGUACCUAAAAGUUUUAAACAGUGUAUUUGAACUAUAAGCCAUAUAUUCUCUGUUUUUCAUUGGUUUACACUGGUAUUAAGCAUAUUUUUAUAUAACUGGGACAGAAUUAUCUUAAUAUAUCUUCAUAUAUCUUCCCUUGCAGUGUUAUACUUCAUAAUCUUGUCUUUCAAAAGGUGACACUGACAAAAGGGAAGAAGUAAAGCUCCUGUUUUGAUCCAUUGCAGUCCUGGAAAUUGUCUGCUCAAGGAGAGCACCAAGUGGCAGGUCAAGCAGUGCAGUUUUCACAUUCUAAUCUCUACCUCCAAGCUAGCUUAUUCCUUGGAUGUGUUUGAUAAAACAAAGAGAGAGGAAGGAUAAAUUUCCAGUGUAACAUCACUUUGUGGUGGUUAGCAAUGAAUAGAACCAGAAGAUCAUAAUCUCUUCAGUCUCUGUGCUUUCUCCCUUUGAAUUUCUCUCCAUUCAGAAGCAGGAAGGGGUUGUUCUCUUGAUGCAGUAGGAAACCCUCCAGCAGGAUCAAAGCAGUGAUGUAUUCAGGCUUAUUAAGGAGCUGAGGCACUCAGGAUAUAGAAACAAGGGGUCCCUCCUGCUGUCUUAUCUUCUCCUUUUGCACAUGUUCCACAGACCUGUGAGCUUGUGCUCUGCACUCCUGCAGACAAGAAUGCAUCCUAUGCUCAACACCCAACUCUUCACAAAAGAGUGAAACAGGCUGAGGGAAAAAGUGCAUUCCUUGGUCCUGCCCCUUAUUUCUGCUACCUUACUCUGCCCUGCCUUGCCCUGCUCAGCCAGGCUGCCAAGCGUUGACUCCCCAGAGUUGCUCAAGAAUGAUUGUAAAUAUAGAAGAAUAAAGAGCACUUCACUGAAACACAGUAGCAACCCUUCAGUUCUGUCCUAACCAGGUAUUUUUCCCUUGGAAUAGUGGCACUAGGGGAAUAAUAUCACAGUAUAGGAGUGAUGUGAAAAGGACAAAAUCAACCACUCCAGUAGACCCCCAUGCAAAGGAAAGACAUCGCUCUGGUUCACCUUGGCCUCUGGCUAGGAUUUCACCUCACCUUGUGGCUGGCAGGUUGCACAGCAUGCUGGAAAGCAAGCGCCAACCUAUGUAACAAUAUCUCUACUUCAGCAGCUGUUAAAUCAGUUUCCUCUGGAUGAGGAUGCCAGAACGGGACAGAAAAUCUGGGAGUUUUCUCCUCUUUGCUGGGCAGAGCACUUUCUCACUGCAGUAUGAUAAGGUUCCUGGCUGUCCUAAAGUCACUUUGUUGGGGAUCCACCAGCUUAAUACAGCUGAAAAGCCAAGCCAAAAGAGAGUCAUGCAUCCAGAUGAACAAACAGUGAAAAAUGUUUGUACCUGGGGGGAGAAAAUGAGGGGAGAGAGGGCUGGAUGUGCUCAAAGCCUUGAAUGUUUCUCUAAGCAAGAGUCACUAUUAUUCAUCCAUACCUCUGGGGCUGUGAACAAGGUCUCCUUCACCUCUGGAUUUUAUUCUCCUCUCUCUUCUCCUCUCCCCCACCCCAACAUGUUUGGCAUUUGGAAGUUUUGAAGUAAUUUCCUCCCUUGGCCUCACCUGGGAUCUCUGCUGUCCCAGAACCUCCUUCUGACCUCAGUGUUGUGUUUUCAUUUAAAGUAGGGGAUGUCUAUAAAUGUCAGCAGUACAGGGCAAUUAGAAGUUUGAAAAGGGCUGUAACAUAAACCAGCAUUAUAGUGAAAUGGAUACUGCCUUAAGCUGCCUGAAAUUCACUUGCUGUUGGAAAGACAAUAUCCUGCCAUUCUCCCAUGGUGGCCUUCAAUUGAACACAUUUGGCUGAGGGUUGACCCGUUAUUAGGAUAAGUCUCUGCAUGGCUUGAAACAAUGAAGAAACACAGAGAGAGAGAAGCCAGCAAAUUGGGCUGGUCGUUAGCCAGCACUGGGCAGAAAUGUGACACUGGAUUAGACCUUAAUAGCUGUCUGUGGUGCUAUCUGUGAAAUCCAAUGCUCUCCUUGUUUCCCUGCAUUGCAGGGCAUAAGCAUGUGGUUAGAUGUUAGGCAAAAUCCAC